AGUGAACGCUGGCGGCGUGCUUAACACAUGCAAGUCGAACGAGAACGGAAUAUAGCUUGCUAUAUUUGUCAGCUAAGUGGCGCACGGGUGAGUAAUGUAUAGAUAACCUGCCCUUAAGAAAGGAAUAACAGUUGGAAACGUCUGCUAAUGCCCUAUAUGCCUUUAAUACAUAAGUAUGCAAGGGAAACGCUUUAGUGCUUAAGGAUGGGUCUGUAUGGUAUCAGCUUGUUGGUGAGGUAAUGGCUCACCAAGGCUAUGAUGCCUAACUGGUGUGAGAGGAUGAUCAGUCACACUGGAACUGAGACACGGUCCAGACUCCUACGGGAGGCAGCAGUGGGGAAUAUUGCACAAUGGACGAAAGUCUGAUGCAGCAACGCCGCGUGGAGGAUGACACAUUUCGGUGCGUAAACUCCUUUUAUAUAGGAAGAUAAUGACGGUACUAUAUGAAUAAGCACCGGCUAACUCCGUGCCAGCCGCCGCCGUAA
rnacentral:rRNA from 1 species